rnacentral:rRNA from 1 species
GAUUGAACGCUGGCGGCAGGCUUAACACAUGCAAGUCGAACGAUGAWUYYCYAGCUUGCURGRRAWGAUUAGUGGCGGACGGGUGAGUAACAUUUAGGAAUCUGCCUAGUAGUGGGGGAUAGCUCGGGGAAACUCGAAUUAAUACCGCAUACGACCUACGGGUGAAAGGGGGCGCAAGCUCUUGCUAUUAGAUGAGCCUAAAUCAGAUUAGCUAGUUGGUGGGGUAAAGGCCCACCAAGGCGACGAUCUGUAACUGGUCUGAGAGGAUGAUCAGUCACACCGGAACUGAGACACGGUCCGGACUCCUACGGGAGGCAGCAGUGGGGAAUAUUGGACAAUGGGGGCAACCCUGAUCCAGCCAUGCCGCGUGUGUGAAGAAGGCCUUUUGGUUGUAAAGCACUUUAAGCAGGGAGGAGAGGCUAAUGGUUAAUACCCAUUAGAUUAGACGUUACCUGCAGAAUAAGCACCGGCUAACUCUGU